UAGAUAUGCUAACAUGCCAACAAUGUCAUAAAACAUGCUAACAAUACCACAAUAUUAUUCGAAGAUACAUAAACAGAUAAAUGGUUAUAUGCUAUUAAAAUUGUUAGCAGUCUAACAUUGAAGGGUAUUAAAUAUGUUAACAGUCUAGCAGUUAGUUAUAGAUAUGUUGAUAGCAUUUGCUCGUAAAGAAUCACAAAGAACAUCGCGUCCGACACAACUCCUAUGCACUGUCCAAGAAGUCCACAUACGCUGCUCCUCUGAUUCCAGUAUACACGUAAUUUGCCAAGGUGCUUUUGUGGAGGUUGUUGACUAGGCAGUUCAUUGAUGGUUCCAAAGAUUGAUAUCCAGAAGCCAUUAUGUGCUCAUCAAACAAAACAAUAGCAUCAACUAGUGACCUGAUCUAGUCAUCAAACAAAGCAAUAGCAUCACUUAAAGGUUAUCUUGUUGCUCAAAGAUCAUGGCGGAUCGGAUAAGUAUACAAAUAUACGGCUAAGUAUAUAAGGCUACGGAUAAGUAUACAAAGAUACGGAUAAGUAUAUAAAGCUACAGAUAAGUAUACAAAGAUAUGGCUAAGUAUACAAAGAAUAUGUCUAGGUAUAUAAAGAUACAGCUAAGUAUAUAAAGAUCCGAUGCAAUAAGGGAUAAAUAGCCGGUUAUUUAACAGGUACGACACACACAAAAAAAACAGACAACAACAUUUAUGGCCAUCUUGCAAACAUUACUAGCAUGAGUACUGUCAGUAGAUCAACUCUGGAUUAAAGAUGUCCUAAAUAAACAUGGCUAUCGUCUUAACUGACCAGAGUAUGGUGUCUGAUCAGAAAGCUCUAAGAACUUACUGAUAGAUGAUCUCUUUAUAACAUUGAUUUCGUCUGCAUCCAGAAAAACGCAAAUAAUCAAACAACUAUAGGUCCAAAAAUCAAACAAAAGAAGAACUGGAUCUAUCAAAACAGAGAAACACAAUGAAAAAAAUCAGAAAGACACAACACCAAGGGUAAAAAUCCAUCGGACACUGGCCCUAAAACCCAGAUGUGUGUUGCUUUGAUUCUCGCAUACUCUAAUCAAACCUUAAACAAGACAAUAUGACAUUAACAACUAGGGACAUGCUUUACUUCCGAUGAUAUCAAACCCAGAAAAUUCAGACAUAAGCUUAGCAAAUCAAAUACUCAAACCGAAGUUAAAAAAACCCCACAAAUAGAAAACCCAUAAUGAAAUCGUGGAUCCAGUCAAAGAAACCAAAUCAAGAAUCAUAUAAGAGAAGAGGAUGAUAUACCCUGAAGACGAAGGCGUUGAGCAGCGUCAUGGGAUUCAUAUUGCAUACAAGGAGGAUUGCGUGAAUCUCAUCCUCACUAUAGUUCCCAGCAGUGAUCUCUUCGUCUUCUUGGUAUCCGCCGUAAUCGAAACCCUAGUACCACUCCCCACCAUCCUCUAUUUUUCAAACGAAUAUAGCUUCUGGUAAAUGAAUCUGGGACCAAAUCGAAAAGGUUUGAGCAGUCCUGUAUAUGUAUUUAUACGAAUACGCAGGAGAGUGGAGGAUGGGAUUUGAAACUAGAUUGGUGUUUCGAGGAGGAAGGAGUAGAAGAAGAAAGAAAAGGGGGCGAGAAAGGAGAGAGGAGAGAGAUAUAGGGAUUUUGGAAAACAUACAAAAUAAGUUGUGUAGAAAAAGGUAGGGACAAA
rnacentral:lncRNA from 1 species